UACGUAGGGUGCAAGCGUUGUCCGGAAUUAUUGGGCGUAAAGAGCUCGUAGGCGGUGUGUCGCGUCGGCCGUGAAAACCUGCAGCUUAACUGUGGGCUUGCGGUCGAUACGGGCGGGCUAGAGUUCGGCAGGGGAGACUGGAAUUCCUGGUGUAGCGGUGGAAUGCGCAGAUAUCAGGAGGAACACCGGUGGCGAAGGCGGGUCUCUGGGCCGAUACUGACGCUGAGAAGCGAAAGCGUGGGGAGCGAACAGG
rnacentral:rRNA from 1 species